AUCUAUGGCCAUACCAUCCUGUACGUGCCCAAACUUAUCUGAUCUCAGAAGCUAAGCAGGCUUGGGCCUGGUUAGUACUUGGAUAGGAGAAAUGAGUCCAUUUGGGGAAAGCAAUUUUUAAAAAUU
rnacentral:rRNA from 1 species